CUUACAUUGGGGGAUAGCCUUUCGAAAGGGAGAUUAAUACCGCAUAAGACAGUAGCUGGGCAUCCAGCAGCUGUUAAAGAUUUAUCGAUGUAAGAUGGGCAUGCGUCCAAUUAGUUAGUUGGCGAGGUAAUGGCUCACCAAGACUUUGAUUGGUAGGGGAACUGAGAGGUCAAUCCCCCACACUGGCACUGAGAUACGGGCCAGACUCCUACGGGAGGCAGCAGUAGGGAAUAUUGGGCAAUGGACGCAAGUCUGACCCAGCCAUGCCGCGUGCAGGAUGAAGGCGUUAUGCGUUGUAAACUGCUUUUAUACAGGAAGAAACGACUCUUGCGAGAGGCAUUGACGGUACUGUAUGAAUAAGCACCGGCUAACUCCGUGCCAGCAGCCGCGGUAAUACGGAGGGUGCAAGCGUUGUCCGGAUUUAUUGGGUUUAAAGGGUGCGCAGGUGGUUUAUUAAGUCAGUGGUGAAAGACGGUCGCUCAACGAUUGCAGUGCCAUUGAAACUGGUAGACUUGAGUAAAGUAGAGGUGGGCGGAAUUGAUAGUGUAGCGGUGAAAUGCAUAGAUAUUAUCAAGAACUCCAAUUGCGUAGGCAGCUCACUUGGCUUUUACUGACACUCAUGCACGAAAGUGUGGGUAUCAAACAGGAUUAGAUACCCUGGUAGUCCACACUGUAAACGAUGAUAACUAGGUGUCGGCCGAAUCUGGUCGGUGCCACAGC
rnacentral:rRNA from 1 species